rnacentral:lncRNA from 1 species
CCCUGGAAGCCAUUUCUGAAGAAAAACAAAAGUUCUUCAGUACCUCAAAGGACUACAGAAAAGGAAGGAAGUCAUACUAAAAGAGCCCUGGCUGUUAUUCAAUGAGAAAAGAUGGAGCAGAGCACCAGCGUAUCCUGAGAAAUCAAUAAAGCUGGAGCCUCUUGUGUAAAUCUCUCACAAAGCCAACAGAACCAUUCAUAAAUUUUAAAGGUUCAGUGAAGAAAAAAGUAUACUUGAGCUACAAAAAGCAAGUUCUUCCCAGAGCCUAAAUGACACUCAUCAUGUGAGUAGAUGUGACAAGGAUACAUUUAUAAAAGGCUUUUGUUUUGGUAAGAAACAGCCCUUAUUGUGUAAAGUCUGAUAUUUAGCAUUAAAUUAUUUAUUUUCU